rnacentral:tRNA from 1 species
CGUGGAGUGGAGAAGUGGUCUAUCUCGUCAGGCUCAUAACCUGAAGGUCGUAAUAAACGGUUCGAAUCCUACCUCCGCAA